GAGAGUGAGAACAAAUGAAGCAGCCUGAGGAAGGAAAGGCCAAAAGAGCCCUCCACUCGGUCACUAUCACUUAAGGAUGCAGAAGCUGCAGCAGCUCUUUCUCAUUUUUUCAGGAUUUUAUAUGAUCUGAAAUUCUGAAUCCCAAAAAGAUCUUAUUGUAACCAGAAAACUACAGAACCAAAACCUCAUAACAACUGAAACUGUGUAUUUACACAUUAACAACAAAGUUAAAACAACAUUUUUACGUAUAAAGUAACAGAGUUUGCAGGAGGGGUACAUGAUACAUACAUCAAAUGGUAGAGAGAUGCAAAGACAAAGUUCUUUUUAUGCCAUUUUCAA
rnacentral:misc_RNA from 1 species